rnacentral:rRNA from 1 species
GAACGCUGGCGGCAUGCCUUACACAUGCAAGUCGAACGGCAGCACGGGAGCAAUCCUGGUGGCGAGUGGCGAACGGGUGAGUAAUAUAUCGGAACGUGCCCAGUCGUGGGGGAUAACGUAGCGAAAGCUACGCUAAUACCGCAUACGAUCUACGGAUGAAAGCGGGGAUCGCAAGACCUCGCGCGAUUGGAGCGGCCGAUAUCAGAUUAGGUAGUUGGUGAGGUAAAGGCUCACCAAGCCGACGAUCUGUAGCUGGUCUGAGAGGACGACCAGCCACACUGGGACUGAGACACGGCCCAGACUCCUACGGGAGGCAGCAGUGGGGAAUUUUGGACAAUGGGCGCAAGCCUGAUCCAGCAAUGCCGCGUGCAGGAUGAAGGCCUUCGGGUUGUAAACUGCUUUGUACGGAACGAAACGGUGAGCUCUAAUACAGUUUGCUAAUGACGGUACCGUAAGAAUAAGCACCGGCUAACUACGUG